rnacentral:rRNA from 1 species
UACGGGGGGGGGCUAGCGUUGUUCGGAAUUACUGGGCGUAAAGGGCGCGUAGGCGGUCUGCUAAGUUGGAUGUGAAAACUCUGGGCUUAACCCAGAGCCUGCAUUCAAUACUGACAGGCUAGAGUUCUGGAGGGGAUAGCGGAAUUCCUGGUGUAGCGGUGAAAUGCGUAGAUAUCAGGAGGAACACCGGUGGCGAAGGCGGCUCUCUGGGACGGUACUGACGCUGAGACGCGAAAGCGUGGGGAGCGAACAGG